GUACAAAAACAAAGGAAAAAAACUCACUAGUUAAUAAAUAAAUAUUUGGAUUGCAAAUAUGAGCCAAUUAGAUACAAGUGUGUGGAUCACAAUCUUGGUCAUUCAUUAAACUGAAUCUAAAGGUCCCCAAUCGUUCUCUUCUGAUUGGUUCAUUUAGAAAAAUGGGAUCACCCAUAUUUAAUCAUGGCCGUUGAUGAGUAUCGAUCUAAAAGCUUAAAUUAACCUACUUUAAUUAAUUGUUUUUAAUUUUUUUCUUCUUUCUCUCCUCGAGACUUGAUCUUUUCUCUUCUCUCUUUCUCUAGUUCGCCCUAAAGUUCGUCUUUCUAUUGUUAGUUCAUCUCUGUUAGGCUCUUUUCUGUACUCUAGAUUCCUUUUCUCUGGAGGGUUUAGAUCUUUGGUUUGGAGGCGAGUGGAGACGCGUGGAGAGGAACUCCUUCUCCUGGGGGUUUGAUUAGUCGGAUCCCACUGGCUCAGAUGUGCUUUUGUCUGUAUUAGGUCUCCUUUGACCGGAUUUCUUUGAUAAACUGAAGAUCUGCUUUUCUCUCCAUCUCUCUCGACGGUUGGAUGAUGUUACUCUCAUCAAAUGAGAAAUCCUAUAAGAUUCUGCCUUUAUACAGAUCUUAUCCAAGCACAAGCUUGUACAUGAGGUGCUUUUUGGUCUUCUAUUAACAACGACAAGUACUUGUGGUCGUGGUCUCGGCGUCAACAAUGGUGGUCUCGGCAUCAGCAGUGGUGGUCUCGACUUCGUCAGUGGUCGUCUCGACUUCGUCAGUGGUCGUCUCGACUUCGUCAAUGGUAGCUUAGCGCGGUGGAGGAGGCUGAAUAAGCUUUACUGUGUGGUGUUCUUGGCUGGUGGUGUCGGCCUCAAAGAUGAAGAAUAUGAAGGAGUUGAAGUUGACGGCAAAAAGUUUAGAUGUAGGGUUAAUUUUUUUAUUAGGUUAAUCUUUUUAGGUUUACAUUUGCAAACCGGGUUUUGUAAAGCAGAAUUUAUUUGUAAACCAUAAUUAAUUAUAUUUGGUGGUUUAAUUUUUAAUUAA